rnacentral:lncRNA from 1 species
AAAGAGUCCGGAUCUGGGGCUCCAUCAUCAGUCUCUAAGAGCGGCCCAGAGAUUCUCACGUUCCCUAGUCAUUUACCCACAUGCCUCAGCUGCAGAACCUGUCCUCAAGGUGCUCACAGGCUGAGGGAAGGCAGACAGAGGACAAGUGGCAACCUACAAAACACCAAAUGGGCUCCACACUCAACCAAGGUGCCCCUCAGCCAGAACUGGACACAUUGCCAGAGAACUCCAGGGGUCAUCUGGUUGGCUCAGCCUCCCGGUUUCCAACAGACAGUCACCAUAGGCUCACCUGAACUGUGAGAAGUAGAGGAAGGGGUCCCAGAGGAGUGCACCGAAGUCACCCAGCGGCCGAGUGAGAACUCCAGUCCAGCUUUCCACCCGCUACUCCGCGCAUCCCAGCUUGCCUUACAGCCGGGUACCGGCUCCACCAUUUUGCUAGAGAAUGCCGCGGAGGCUCAGAGAGGUGCGCACAUUUGCCCUGAGUCACACAGCGAAUGCCCUCCGCGGUCCCAACGCACAGAGAGCGAGCGGAUCG